GGCCCCUUAGCUCAGUUGGUUAGAGCAGGCGACUCAUAAUCGCUUGGUCGCUGGUUCAAGCCCAGCAGGGGCCA
rnacentral:tRNA from 1 species